UACGGAGGGUGCGAGCGUUGUCCGGAAUCAUUGGGCGUAAAGGGCGCGUAGGUGGCCCGGUCAGUUCGUGGUGAAAGCGCGGGGCUCAACCCUGCGUCGGCCAUGAAUACUGCCGCGGCUGGAGCACUGUAGAGGCAGGCGGAAUUCCGGGUGUAGCGGUGGAAUGCGUAGAGAUCCGGAAGAACACCGGGUGGCGAAGGC
rnacentral:rRNA from 1 species